rnacentral:lncRNA from 1 species
UGACUGACCUUUCUUUCUUUGCGUUGCGAAGCUAGUGACUGUUUUCCUGUUUCGCUUGCUCUUUCAGUUCCAGUUUCACUCACCAGAGAUUUGAUGAGCCGAUCCCGAAAACAAGGAACCGACUCGAGCCAGACCCUUUUUUUGUCGAUAAAGCCAAGAUCGAUGAAAAAGGCGAAACCCUCUUUAUUGCCCUUUUUACGCCUAAAAAGGACAGGUACCCCUACCCUAAAAGGUAUAAGAAGAGGUACCUUUCACUCGGGUUUUCUGUUGUCGAGUUUGUCAGGCACUUUUACCUAUAUUCAAAUCCCACGGCGGUAGCUAACGCUCACUUGAUGGGCGAGAACGCUCCCUUCCUUAACUGCACAUUCAUUAAUGCUAUUCCACAUAGGACAACAGGAGCUUACCUAUUUUACAGCGAGAAGUUUACCGGCGGGAGAAUUUACCAGGAUAAGCGGUAAGAGCUCGAUGAACUCUCUUUCCGUCUAUCAGCCGCGCAAGCGAGGAGUUUUCUCUUACCUCUAUAACUCACGGACUGGAAAC